CCACUAACUGAGCCACACUGUGUAACAAGAAAUGCAAAGUUGGUAACUAUGAAAGGGAUUAUUGAAGGUUUGUCAUUAAUAUGAAACAGCGUGUAUAUAUCAUCGAUUUAAAUCUCGAACUUUAGAUAAGACAUUGAGUUGAAGAUAAACCCAAAAUGUACAGUUACACAUUUUAUGGAUUGUUUUGUAUAGUUACCAGAGUGCUCAAACCUAUAACGGUGAGCUUUGCAUAGGGCGAAAGCGUUGAACGUGUCAUAUGGACUCUCUACGUAGUCUGUGGAAAAUGCUCAAACUAUGCAUGAGCAGAAAGCGUAUUAUACAAUGUAUACAUAUAUGUGUGUGUAUCUUUUUCUUUGUUCUUCCAGGAAUUUCGCUGUUUGCAAAGUUUUGUGUCGAGUGCAAGAUACCGUACAGAUACCAGGAGUAUUCAGCUGGUGUUCACAAUUUUAAUGACAACUGGCUUUUAAGUUUGGGAAUAUGUGAUAUGAUCAGAAAACAUCUUCAGGUUCACAACGCUGUCAGUCGCACUGUUGAGGCAAUUGAAAACUGGCUGCAGUUGCGACCAUUUCAGUUACCACGUGGUCAAAUGAUGAACGCGUAUCUUCACUUUGAAGCUCUCUCAGAUCAUGACUAUGGGUUUUCUUGUGUUUUGUGUGGACACUUUCCUCCCCUGUUAACUCUAGAUGUAGACAAGAAAGGAAUCUUUGAACUAGCGGUUAGUGAACUUCAGUUGCCAGACCCCGAAUCCGAUGCUCCUGCAGAUGAAGUGGACGCUGAAAAGUACUGGCAACAAGUGAACUGUGGGAUCUUAUACAGAGGAGUAUUGAGAGGUAAUGAAAAAACCCUUUAGAAAUCAAGCCUUCAUAUAAGUUUUGGGCCCCAUAUAUUGGCCCAAAAUGCAGAAGAGGAAGGAAACUUUUUAAUACCGAAUACAUGAAAGCGUAUCAUAAACAAAACCUAACAUCAGCUGGGGCUACAUCUGAUGAAUGUUCAAUUGAAAAGCUCAUGGAUUUGUUCUGUGAAGGAAAAGUACCUGUUAUAAGAGAAAUGGCCAGAAGUUUAAAUGUGAGCGACAAGGGGUCGAAACUUGAUAUAAUUAACCGUAUAAAAUCUGUUUUGAAUAUCGAAGAAACGUUUCUUAAACUUUUCUCAAAGAUGUGGG